rnacentral:miRNA from 1 species
GGUGUGGCCUUGUUGGAGGAAAUGUGUCACUGGGGUUGGGCUUUGGAAUUUCAGAAUCCCUAGACAGGCCCAGUGGCUCAUUCUUCCUGCUACCUGUAGAUCC